rnacentral:rRNA from 1 species
AUGGACAUCCUGGAGCAGCCCCUCGAGGCCGUCGCCUUCCGCAUCCACUCCCUCCCCGAGGCCGCCGCGGCGGGCGCCGCAGCGUGGACCUGCCUCGCCGCCGUCCUCGCCGCGGCCGCGGCCGCCGGCGUAUGGCGCCUGCGCUCCUCCACGGCGCCGUCCGCUGUGAUCUCGGAUGAUGUGUCCAAGCCUUUCGUGGAGCUAGAUACUUCCCCGUCGAUGAUGGUGUCUUCGGAGACGGAGAGAUCGCUAGGGAGAUCGUCUGAGGCGACGAUGUCGACGUCGCUGCCGGCGCUGUCGCCGAGGGAGCGGUACACGGCGUACUACCACGACACCGGCUGCGUCGGAUGCUGCGACGUGGAGAGCGACGAGGAGGAGGAGGAGGAGGAUCGGGAUCCGGAAGAUGACUACGGCGUGUACGGGCCGCCCGAGCAGGCGGAUCCUUUCGAAUGGGAGGUGGUGAGGCCUCUGCUGCCUCUCAUGCCGGCGACGGCUGCUGAGACUGGCCGGUACCUGAGCCCAAGGGCGCUCAGCGGCAGCGUGGUGCGGCUGUGGGAUCAAGGCGCCGAUAGGAGCUUCGUGGCCGCGGCUGCGGCGAGCCGGAGACGGAGCGGUAGAGCUGGCACCGUCUCGAGCUUCUGA